GCUGAUCUGAAACGGUGACAAUCCAAGUGCACAAAAAACCUUCACCUACCGAGCUGCUUUCCACCAACCCUCCUCACAACACCCUUCCCCUUCCUCGAUCUUGAAUUUACCCAAUGCAGUCCUAGUGCUGCUGGUUGCUUUUGCAUCCUCUUCUACUGCAGUUGGUCUUGUUUCAGCUUCGUGGAAGCUAAUGGAGGACAAAGAUGAUAGAUUUUGCUACAACGGCAACAAAUAUCGAAAAGGCAAAGACGCAGUUGCCGUCAUGUUUGAGGCGAUCUGGUUUGAUGAUGAAGUAGCAUUCGACUUUCCCAUGGGCAUCUGUGCAACCAAAGCGUCACAUCAUGCUAGCAUUUGGAAGCCUUCCUAGUUCAUGAAUGGUGCUAUCCCGAUUGAGCUUUUUUUUAUCUGUCAUACUAUCCCUAUCUUCAGGUAAUCAAAUGCUAGACGUUCUUGAGUGCUAGAACAUUUUGUUCCGAGUACUUUGGAACGUUCUUGACCUUGCAAGGCUUCUCCCUGACCUUGCAAGAGUUGUCAAUUUCUACCAUCUCCUUGCCACACUUCUUGGCCCUUGUAUUCUCGCCAUCCCAAACCUUCCUUUCCCAUUUCCAAUGUUCAGCUGCAUCCUCCACGCUCACAUCCAUUUCUUCCUUCUAUCCCUCCUGAGCUAGCUUUUCUCCCAUGUUCUGCCAAAAAAAAAUGUUGUUGACAAGGUUAGAGUCAUGGAGAGCAGUACUACAUGUGUGAUUCUCAAGGGUCUUGUAUAUCAGAAGACUUUGCUAAUAGAAGAAGCUGAAAUAUUUAAUGUAUGUAUUUUAUAAGUUGUAAGAUUGCUAGUCACUUGAUUGAGCUAAAUAUUCCAUUGCUAUAUAUGGUUCACUCACCCUA